GGGGACGUAGCUCAGUCGGUAGAGCAGGAGAUUUUUAAUCUUCUGGUCGUGGGUUCGAGUCCCGCCGUCCUCA
rnacentral:tRNA from 1 species